rnacentral:rRNA from 1 species
UACGUAGGUGGCAAGCGUUGUCCGGAAUUAUUGGGCGUAAAGCGCGCGCAGGCGGCCUUCUAAGUCUGAUGUGAAAGCCCACGGCUCAACCGUGGAAGGUCAUUGGAAACUGAGAGGCUUGAGUACAGAAGAGGAAAGCGGAAUUCCACGUGUAGCGGUGAAAUGCGUAGAUAUCUGGAGGAACACCGGUGGCGAAGGCGGCAUCCUGGACCGGUAUUGACGCUGAGGCGCG